rnacentral:lncRNA from 1 species
CUCAUGCACCAGACAUGCUCAUGGUACAUAUCCAUACAACACAGGCAAACACAUAAGUAAUUUUCAAAAAUAUUAACAUGGGGCCAGUAACAACGGAACUAAUAGGUGCAUGCCAUCAAGUCAUGCAACCCACAUUUUGGAAGAAGAGAACUGACUUCUACACAUGUGCCAAGGCAUGUGCUUACACACACAAACGCCCAGAUGCAUUAAUUUUAAAACAUGUAAGAUGUCAACAUGGAGCAGGUGUGGCACACAUCCAACACUUAAGGCGAAGUGGGAGGGUCCUAUGUUCAAGGCCGUCCUGGAACAGCACUAUAAGGAAAGGAAGAAUAGUCACUGGACAGUUAGUUCUUCCCAUAGGCAUGGGACAUGUACCACACUUAAGCAGGUACUUAAGUAAUGAAAGCAGUAUAGAUUAUAAAAUGAAAUCCUUUAAGUCUAGUUCCUAUAAAUACUUUCUUAUUCUAUACUAAGCUUCAUUGCUCAUGUCCAGUGUAAAACCUGCAAACCUCUAGGUGAGUGAGUGUAGGAUAAGAUUGAGACCCCUCUUAGCGUUUAAAAAUAUUUUGUUAGCAUGUAUUACUUACAUAUAAUGAGUUUCACUGUGACAGUUUCAUGCUGUAAUAAAGUUUCAUACCUCCUAUU